rnacentral:rRNA from 1 species
CCUACGGGAGGCAGCAGUGGGGAAUAUUGGUCAAUGGACGAGAGUCUGAAGCAGCGAAGUAGCGUGAAGGAUGACUGCCCUAUGGGUUGUAAACUUCUUUUAUAUGGGAAUAAAAUGUUGCACGUGUGGGAUUUUGUAUGUCCCAUAUGAAUAAGGCUCGGCUGACUCCGUGCCAGCAGCCGCGGUAAUACGGAGGUGCCGAGCGUUAUGCGGAUUUAGUGGGUGUAAAUGGAGCGUAGAUGGAGGGGUAAGUCAGUUGUGAAAGUUGGCGGCUCAACCGUAAAAUUGCAGUUGAAACUGGCAGUCUUGAGUGCAGGAGAGGUGAGCGGAAUUCGUGGUGUAGCGGUGAAAUGCUUAGAUAUCACGAAGAACUCCGAUGGCGAAGGCAGUUCACUGGACUGCAACUGACACUGAGGCUCGAAAGUGUGGGUAGCAAACAGGAUUAGAUACCCGAGUAGUC